GAUGAACGCUGGCGGCGUGCCUAACACAUGCAAGUCGAGCGAACCCGUCCGGGUGAGCGACGGACGGGUGAGUAACGCGUGGGUAACCUGCCCUGUACACACGGAUAACAUACCGAAAGGUAUGCUACCUGCCUGUAUAUGUUUUAAUCCCAUGGUUAAUGUAUGCUAGCUCCGGCGGUACACGAUGGACCCCCGUCUGAUUAGCUAGUUGGUGAGGUAAAGGCUCACCGACGCGACUAUCAUUAGCCGACCUGAGAGGGUGAUCGGCCACACUGGAACUGAGAUCGGUCCACACUCCUACGGGAGGCACCAGUGGGGAAUAUUGCACAAUGGGCGAAAGCCUGAUGCGCCAACGCCGCGAGAUUGAUGAAUGCCUUCGGGUCGUAAAGCUCUGUCCUCAAGGAAGAUAAUGACUGUACUUGAGGAGGAAGCCCCGGCUAACUA
rnacentral:rRNA from 1 species